UUUUCUUUUUGUUUUUUCUCCCACUACAAUACUGAUAUAGAAUCAAAUGUAGUCGUUGGCCAUAAAUUGGCACAGUUGAGUGAGACCAACUUCACUGAUGUGUGACUUCCAUUUGCAUCUUCCCUUACUGAUUUGCUUAAGUGUGGUCCUAGUGAAACCAUAAGUCUUUAAGUCGGCCUUGUCCAAUUAGUUUUCCUGGAUGUUGAGGCAAUGCCAUUGUGUUAGCUGUCACCCUGUUGACCAUCAGAGGGCUUGACUGAACUGAUUUGACUUUUUAUGGAUGUGAUUUCUCCCUUAUCAGUUCAUGUGCAUGCUGCCUAAAGCCAUCCAAUUUGUUAGGGCAGAAUUCUCAAGUAAAGGAGUAACUUUCUAUGGAAUGAAUGUCUAGGUAUAACUAGAUUUUUAUGAUUGUAGAUGGUGUUUUACCACAGGCACAUCAUGUAUUUUUUUAUUAUAAGGUGUCUCAUAUGCCCUGUCAACUCCCUAAGGUGUGUCAUAUGCUUAGGAUUAUUAAUUGGUUCAAUGAUCAGGUGGCUUACAGGUCUUUGUUGAAUCCAAUAGCUGACAAAGAUGGUGUAUCCUCAUUUCAUCUCUAAGUUAGAGGCAACCAGGAAGUCAAAACUAUUCUAGGGCUGCAUUUAGUAGGUAAUGAUUCAAGAUUAUUGGAAAGGUAAUAACAGAGCCUAGAAUGCAUCAACUCUAGAUGUCUAGGUUAGGCACAAUAGUAACAAGGCAUGUAAUUAAGAAAUACAUACCACCUAACAUGAACUUAGAAAUAAGCAAAAAUAGAAGGAGAUGGUACAUCAGAGGAACUGUCAACAACGGAAGCAGUGACUUAGAUACGAGGGAGGCAAGCAGGCCGGAGCCACUGAAGCAUGGACAUCAAAGAACAAGCCAAAGUAAGUUGACCUAAAUCCAGCAGGAGACUGGAGAGGGGAGAUUUUUAGGAAUACAAAGAAGAAAAAUAAGAUAGGAAGUAAUUGUCCUCAAAAUGAUUUGAUUCUGAGGCAAGUUACUGCCCAACCAAAAGUCUUCUACCUUGUAAGACUUGGCCAGCCUAGAAUCUCUAGAUCUAGUCGAGGGCCUGGAAAUGGACAGCAAGGAAACAAUUACAUAUUGAGUGUCUGUUACAGACAUUUAACAUAACAUGUAUUUAGUUUUCUCAUCAUUUACUUUUUAUAAGCAUCUGUCAAAUAGACGGUAUAACUUCCAUUUUCUAGAUUAAAGACGCAAGAUUUGAACUCCAGUCUUUUUACCUAUUACCAUAGUUCGUGAUCUUUCUAUGUAGUCCUAUCAGGAAAAUGGUUAUAGUCUUACUUGUAUUUUGUUCCAUAUAUCUCCAAUUUCCUCUGAAAAUAUGGUAGCAUCUUCUGUAUUGUCCUAAAUGUUGAAAUGGCUGCCUUUAUCAAGAGGCAGUAUUUAUUUAGAAAACAGUCUAGUUAGAUUGAAGGCCAGUGCAACUACAGCAUUAUCUGGAAGUUCUAUGGGCAACUGAGAGGAGACACACUGGGAAUUGGUAUCUUAGGGUUGGGCUAAACUAAUGGAGGUGAAACAGCAGUAUUGUGAACCAACUCAUUGGGUUGUGGCAACUCAAUGCUAUAUGUUAUGCUACUGUAAUAUCUAAGGCAACAUCCUUUUUUUUUUUUUUCUUUUUUUGAGACGGAGUUUUACUCUUGUUACCCAGGCUGGAGUGCAAUGGCGCGAUCUCAGCUCACUGCAACCUCUGCCUCCUGGUUCAGGUAAUUCUCCUGCCUCAGCCUCCUGAGUAGCUGGGAUUACAGGCACGCGCCACCAUGCCCAGCUAAUUUUUUGUAUUUUUAGUAGAGACGGGGUUUCACCAUGUUGACCAGGAUGGUCUCGAUCUCUUGACCUCAUGAUCCACCUGCCUCGGCCUCCCAAAGUGCUGGGAUUACAGGCGUGAGCCACUGCACCCGGCCUAACAUCCUCUUUUAGACACCUAUCUGAGUCAUUCCCAAUAGUUGAUGGUAAAUGUAAAAUUCUAUGAUUUAUUAUAGUGAAUAAAUAUUAUCCGAGUUCUUGAAGUACAGGUUGAGCAUCCCUAAUCCAAAGUGCAAAGUGCUCCAAAUUCUUAAAACUUUUUGAAUGCUGAGAUGAUGCUCAAAGGAAAUGGUUAUUGGAGCAUUUUGGAUUUUGGAUUUUUGGAUUAGGGAUGCUCAGCUGGUAGUACUGUAAUAUAGACAUUCCAAAGUUUGAGAAAUCCAAAAUCUGAAACACUUCUGGUUCCAGGCAUUUUGGAUAAGGGAUACUCAGCCUGUAUUUAGUACUUGUUGAGGCUCUCAUUUAAGCUCCCACUAGUAGAAUAUUUUCAGAUGUUCUUGAUUAUAGAUGAUAAGGCUUAGGUAGCCUAGGUUUCUGUUAUGUAAAAAAUAUUAAUCAUUGUGAAUGUAUAGGAACUCUGGACUCAUUUUGUGGAAUCGAUAUUAGCUACAGAGAAAGCUCUGAUUAUGCUUGUACAACUGGUAUUUGAAAGGGCAGGCAAGAGGCCAGUGUUGCACAGACAGGACGGGGUGUAAAGAGGCAGUUGGUUCUGUUAUGUCUCUAAGUUAUUCUUGCCAUUUUCAGCUCUUCUUAAUUUUUUUUCUCAUAUUACCUAACUGCUUUAAUAUUACUUUUAUAUCUCUAAAUACAAAUGCAAUUUUAUUUUCUCAAAGCUGCACUUUUGAUUCAAUAAUAUAAACAAAACUUUGAUUGGUUUACUUGUUUCAAAAGAAUAGCUGUAUAUUUUCUCUCCUAGAUCAUUAAGUACUUUAAAUGUUGAUUGAUGUUGUAAUACUGUACUUUAUUUUUAACACAAAACUUGGCCAGACAGCAAAAAUAUUUGCCAGGAGAAACACUUUUGAAAAAGACAGAUUGGCUUUUGUUGGAAGAAAGUACACGGAGACUUGAAUUGUAAAGGCAAAGUAUUGUUUUACUUCUAAGCAUCUAUAGACUAAUGAUUAGUUGAUAUACAGUUUCAACAUUUAAACAAUAUUAGGAAACUCACUUUUAAAAGUAUUAUAUUCAAAAUGGUUGAUUAUGUCAUUGCUACCAGAGAUGAGAUGAUUCAGUCUAGUCAAACAUAUGAAAAAGAAAGCUGUUGCAAACAGUGCCAAUAUUGAAACAGUAGACUGUGAUACUUUCAGUCAUUUCUUAGAGUAUGUAUGUGCAUCUGUGGUUAUGAAUUAAGAGUAUUUUCAGGCCUUGUUUGAAAAGUAUGAAGACACAUGCUUAUCAGACACUAAGUAUUUAAUGAGAACCAACUGCUUGGCUUCCUGUUAGGUGCUGUAUGAGAUGCUAGAUAGUAUCCCUUUCCAAGGAGUUUAGCUAAGGAAAUGACACAUACUGUAGAUACUCCAUAGGUUAGUAAUUUAAGACAGUGAUGCACAACAGUGAUCAUAAGACAGUGCAUAUUUAGUUCCUCCAGAAUCCCAUGAAGGGUCAGGCAGCAUUCCAUGGAGAAAAGGAACUUGAGUAAAGACUUGAACCAGUAGUAGGGAACUGUUUAAAUCUUUCUCCCUGUCUCCCUCCCCGUCUAUCCCUCUUCCUGGGAAAGUAACAAUGAAAAUAAAUCCUAAGAUCCUAAGAGUACUAGAGUUUAAUAGAUAAUGUUGGCUGGUAAAAGAAUUAUUGCUAUCCUUCCUUUUAGAAAUUAUUCUUUUAGCAUUUUACCUGAAAGUGUUCUUCAAUACGGUUCCAAGGACUGACUUCACAUGCCAUCCCAUAUCCAAACUCAGUAUAGUGGCCUAUGAAGCACAUAUGACAGUGUUUUCCAUUAAUUAUUCAGAGUUGAUCAGAGUUCAGAAUUUCUGUGGAAUUAUUACUGAUGAGAAAAUAUUCACCUGUGACUGAAACAUUAAUAUGUGUUGUGUUGUGAUAUUUAUGGUAAGAUUUGACAUUUUUCCUUUCCAUCUUGUUCUCUACCAUCAUCCUUGACAUAAAUUCCUGCUUAAAUGAAAAUGAUUUGGUUGAGCGUGGUGGCUCACGCCUGUAAUCCCAGCACUUUGGGAGGCUGAGGUGAGUGGAUCACCUGAGGUCAGGAGUUCAAGACCAGCCUGGCCGACAUGGUGAAAUGCUGUCUCUACUAAAAUUAUAAAAAUUAGCCAGGUAUGGUAGCUCAUGCCUGUAAUCCCAGCUACUCAGGAGGCUGAGCCACAAGAACCACCUGAUCCCGGGAGGUGUAGGUUGCACUGAGUUGAGAUUAUGCCACUGUACUCCAGCAUGGGCAAGAGAGUGAGACUCCAUCUCAAAAACAAAAAAAAAUGAUUGGACAAAUUGAAAUAGCACAAGAUAGUGGUUAUUUUGAUAACUGAUUCAGAAGGGUGGUGAAUUUUACAGUGUGGGAAGAAAAGUGAGUUUUUGUAAGCAAUACAAAGAUCUUUUGUUGUGUCUGCUAGUUUAUACCUGUAUCUGAAAGGGGGACAUAACUGAUUUUUUUUUUUUUUUUUUUGAGACAGAGUUUUGCUCUCGUUGCCCAGGCUGGAGUGCAGUGGUGUGAUCUCAGCUCACUACAACCUCCACCUCCCGGUUCAAGAGAUUUUCCUGCCUUAGGCUCCCGAGUAGCUGGCAUUAGUGUCCACCACUAUGCCCAACUAAUUUUUUUUUUAAUUUUUAGUAGAGACGGGAUUUCACCAUGUUGGCCAGGCUGGUCUCAAACUCCUGACCCCAGGUGAUCCACCCACCUGGCCUCCCAGAGUGCUGGGAUUACAGGUGUGAGCCACCGUGCCUGGACGAUUUUUUUUUUUUUUAAAGAAGAUUUAAUUACUGCUUUUAAAAGUCUCCUAUGAGUUCAGAAUGGAAAAUUUCCUUAGACCAUUUUUUAAAAGAAAAUCUAGAAGAAUGUAUAAAAUAGUCCCAGUUAAACUUGCUGUAAUAUGAAGCAUAAAAUCAUGUUUUAAAACUACAGAUAUAAAUGAAGCUUAAAAUGUUUUUCAUGGAACUACCUUUACAGUGCUGGAUGGUAAAGUUUUUAUUUUAAAUACGGACAUUCUGUUUUUCCAGGACAUGAUUUAUACAAGAAAACAUAUAAUGUCCCGUUGAACAGAAGCCAAAUACAUUCCCAGACGCUUUGUUACCCAAACCUUUUGAGGGAUUUCUUUAUAGAUGUUUUUGGCAGAACUGGUGAUUUUAGAGGAAACAUAUAAGAAGUACCAGAUGCAGUUUUCUGAAUUGCCAUAAAUGGUUAAAAAAUUGUGAUGAUAUAAACAUCUGGGUAUACUAGACAAUGCCAAAAUGUGAGUUAAGAAAAAAGUGUAUGUUAAUUAGAUAAAUAAUUAAACCUUUUUCAACUUAGAGAUCAUAUUUGAAAAUGUAAGUCACCCUAAUAUUAAUAUCUAAACUAAGCCUCAUUUUAGAAAUUAUAGUUUAAAGAAAAAUUCCUCUAAGUGUAAAGGGAAAGUACAUGCUGUAGCAAUAAGAAUGUUUUGAGUUAAUGUGUUUUGUGUACUUGCCCUUAUUUCUUUAUGCAUAGGUGAGUACAUAAUUCAGAUCAUAAAAGUAUUUGUUCUUUUUGUCCAGUGUUCUUUGCAGAUAUUCUCUUUUCCCAGAUAAAAAUCAAUCAGUCGUUGACUUAUUUCUCAAAUGUUCAUUGUUUAUUUGCUGUGUGCUAAGCACUGCAGUAGGCACUAAAGAUCCAAAGACAGGAGACAAGGGUCCUGCCUUCAGGAGAUUUACAGUCAGGCAGGAAGGGAAGACGACACACAUCAAAUACAUGCAACACAUUUUUAGAAAGGAAAGAGCUAUCCUUUCUACUUGCUGUUAGUAGCAUGGAAGGGUAGAAAAGGCUAGUGAAGGCUUUACUUGAACUUGAAUGAUUGAUCAAUUGAAGAGUGUUUCUUGUGGAGGCAAUAGAUUCUCUGCUCCACCCAGCUGCUGCCAUGCAGGAAUGUGGGCCCAGUGUUGCCAUGUCUUCAGAUCUUUCAAGAGAUACUGGAAAUCUGCUUUUUUUUUUUUUUUUUUUUUUUUUUGUGAAAUAUCCCAUUGAAAAAAAAUUGAUUUCAACUUGUGUAUUCAGGGUACAUGUACAGGUUAUUACAUGAGUAUACUGCAUGACACUGAACUUUGGGGUGCAGAUGAUCUUGUUACCCCGGUAGUACGCAUAAUACACAUUAUGUUGUUUUUCAGUUCUUGUUCCCCUCCCUCUCCUCUCCCUCUGGUAGUCUCCAGUGUCUACUGUUUCCAUCUUUAUGUCCAUAUGUACCCAAUGUUUGGCUCCUACCUGUAAGUAAGAAAAUGGGUAACACUUUUAAAAUUAAAUAGAUAUUCAGUCUCACAUGCCAGAGGAGUAAAAAUUAAAUAUAUAAUCACUCAUAAUAUUUACUCUUUCUAAAAAGAUUAGUUCUGUUUCAGUAUGGAGAAAAUACAGUACAGAUUAUCUGAAUUCAUAAUAAAGGGUUGAGGGAGGAGAAUGGAGAGGAGAAAUAAAUUUGAUUCGGUUACAUUAAAAAUACUUAUAUAAAAUAUGGCCAGGUGCAGUAGCUCACACCUGUAAUCCCAGCACUUUGGGAGGCCGAGGUGGGUGGAUCACCUGAGGUCAGGAGUUCAAGACCAGCCUGUCCAACAUGGUGAAACCCGGUCUCUACUAAAAAUACAAAAAUUGGCCAGGUGUGGUGGCACACGUCUGUAACUCCAGCUACUUGGGAGGCUGAGGCAGAAGAAUUACUUGAACAUGGGAGACGGAGGUUGCAGUGAGCCGAGAUCACGCCACUGCACUUCAUCCUGGGCAAGAGAGCCAGACUCCUUCAAAAAAAAAAAAAAGGCCACGGGGAGGCAGGGAGAGGUCCGGUAGGGGAGAGAAAGGGGCCUGGGUCUGGGCUUCGGGAGUAAUUUCGCUUCGGCCCACGGGCCUCCUCCCUCUCUGCCACCUGCCUUCCUCCCCCACACCCCACCCCCAAUGCUGCUCUGUGCCUGCCGCUCCCGAAAAGCCUUGGACAUUGACGGCAGCGACGGCCACUGCGAGUAUCUGCAGCAACAGCACGGAAAUGGUGCGGUGGCGGCAGCAACCCAGGAGGGCAGCAACUCAGCCGUCACCCCUCGCUCUGCUGGCCACUACCUGCAGCAAGAUAGGGCUGCCAUCGCCUGGCAACCACGAGGAGGAGUUGGCCGCCGCCGGAGCGGCAGGUGAUUUGGCUUUUGCACAUUUAGGAGGAGCACCAAACCGAUGGGAGGUUUUGUCAGCCACACCGACAACUAUAAAAGAUGAAGCUGGUAAUCUAGUACAGAUUCCAAGUGCCACUGCUUCAAGUGGGCAGAAUUUGCAGAAUCAACAAAUAUUUUCGGUUGCACCAGGAUCAGAUUCAUCAAAUGGUACAGUGUCCAAUGUUCAAUUUCAAGUAAUACCACAGAUUCCGUCAACAGAUGGUCAGCAGUUCAAAGUGGUUUCACAGGCUCUUCAGAUAAUGGGGGUAUAAAUCAAGAAAGCAGUCAAAUUCCUAUCAUUCCUCGCUCUAAUCAAACCUUACUUGCCUCUGGAACACCUCCUGCUAACAUCCAGAAUCUCAUACCUCAGACUGGUCAAGUCCAGUUUCAGGGAGUUGCAACUGGUGGUUCAUCUUUUCCUGGUCAAACCCAAGUAGUUGCUAAUGUGCCUCUUGGUCUGCCAGGAAAUAUUAUGUUUGUACCAAUCAAUAGUGUCAAUCAAGAUUCUUUGGGACUCUUGGGCAGUUCUCAUAUAAUGACUGCAGGCAUUAAUGCUGAUGGACAUUUGAUAAACACAGGGCAAGCUAUGGAUAGUUUAGAAAAUUCAGAAAGGACUGUUGAGUGGGUUUCUCCUGAUAUUAAUGAAACUAAUACUGAUACAGAUUUAUUUGUGCUAAUAUCCUCUUCAUCACAGUUGCGUGUUAUGAUAGACAGUACAGGUAUAUUACAACAAAACACAAAUAACUUGACUACAUCUAGUGGGCCAGUUCAUUCUUCAGAUCUUCAGGGAAAUUAUAUCCAGUCACCAGUUUCUGAAGAGACACAGGCACAGAAUGUUCGGGUUUCUACAGCACAGCCUGUUGUACAUCUAUAACUUCAACGAGUCCCAGCAGCCAACCAGUCAAGCCCAAAUUGUGCAAGGUAUUACACCACAGACAAUCCAUGGUGUGCAAGCCAGUGGCCAAAAUAUGUCACAACAAGCUUUGCAGAAUCUUCGGUUGCAGCUGAAUCCUGGAACCUUUUUAAUUCAGGCACUGACAGUGACCCCUUCUGGACAGAUAACUCGGCAAACGUUUCAAGUACAAGGGAGUCCGGAACUUGCAAAAUUUGCAAAUACAGCAUACUGCUGCCCAACAAAUAACUUUAAUGCCUGUUCAUUCACACUUGGUCAAGUUGCGGCAGGUGGAGCCUUCACUUCCACUCCAGUUAGUCUAAGCACUGGUCGGUAGCCAAAUCUACAGACAGUUACAGUGAACUCUAUAGAUUCUACUGGUAGACAGCUGCAUCCAGGAGAGAAUGCUGACAGUCCUGCAGGUAUUAGGAUCAAGGAAGGAGAACCUGAUCCUGAACAGUGGCAGCUCAGUGGUAAUUCUACCUUGAAUACCAAUGGCCUAACACACUUAAGAGUACAAGUGGUAGAAGAAGAAGGGCACCAACAACAUCAAGAAGGAAAAAGACUUCGGAGGGUAGCUUGCACUUGUCCUAACUGUAAAGAAGGUGAUGGGAGAGCUACCAAUCUUGGGAAAAACAAGCAACACAUUUGUCAUAUACCAGGAUGUGGUAAAGUCAAUGGGAAGACCUCACAUCUGAGAGCUCCUCUGCGUUGGCAUUCUGGAGAACACCCUUUUGUUUGUAACUGGAUGUACUGUGCUAAAAGAUUUACUCGAAGUGAUGAAUUACAGAGGCACAGAAGAACACAUACAGGUGAGAAGAAAUUUGUCCAGAAUGUUCAAAAUGCUUUAUGAGAAGUGACCACCUUUCCAAACAUAUUAAAACACAGCAGAAUAAAAAAGGUAUUCACUCUAGCAGUACAGUGCUGGCAUCUGUGGAAGCUGUGUGAGAUAAUACUUUGGUUACUGCAGGAGGAACAACACUUACCCUUGCCAGAUUUCAACAAGGUUCUGUUUCAGGGAUAAGAACUGUUAAUACUUUGGCUGCCAGCAAUCAAGAUAUCCUUACCAACACUGAAAUACCUUUACAGCUUGUCACAGUUUCUGGAAAUGAGACAGUGGCGUAAAUAUUACACAAAUACUUAUUCAUUGUGGUUAUUUUUAUACAGUAGUAAGAAGAAUAUUGUUCCUAAGUUCUUAGAUAUCUUUUUAUUGAUGUGCAGAAAUUUUUGAAUCUACAGUAACUUGGUUAUACAUGACACUGAAAUGCCUUACUUUGCGCGAUAUUCCAUAGUAUAUUAAAAAUGGUAAAAUUGCAUGGCUUUUGUAGGUACUUUUGGAAUCUAGAAGAAGUGAAAUUUUACCAAGUUAUAUUAAAGAGAAAAUGGAAUUUAACAAUGCGAAUGGUAGUCUAACCAAAUGCAUCAAUCCUGUGUGGUUUAGUGUAAAAAUAAGAACAUGUUGGUAUUUAUCUAUUGUAAGAUAAAAAAGCUGGUGAGUGAAAGAAAUCAUGAUAUGAUAAAAAAUAUUGUAAUUUCCUUGAUGACUGGAAUUUUUAUUAUGCAUAACUGACAAAUCAAGUUUCCAAGCAAAUGUUACAUAGUGUAGGCUUUACUUAGCUUAUCAAUUUGUCAUUUUGAAGCUAAUUAUUUUAAUUAGGUUAACUGUAUACACUAUUUUAAGCGCAUUACUCUUGUAAGAUUUUGAAAACUACAUUUUAACAUGGAAUCCUGUUGAAAAGCCAUGUUUAAGAUUUAAUUUGCCAAAAUAAUGUCUUGUUAAUAUUCUUUCAGUAAUGAAGUUGGGCAAUAUAACCAAUGUUUUAAAAAGUUUAAAAUGUAUAGGUUGAGGCAUUUGGGUGGUAAGAAAAUGUUACAGUGAAUUAUCCCUUUUCUGGACUGUUGAAGGACCAAAAAAAAUAAGGUGUAUUUCGUCUUAGAAGUGAUUUUUAUCCAAUCUUGUUUCCAAAAACCAUAUGUCUCCCAGGGCCUUAAAAGCCAUCAUGUAAAUUACCAGUAAACUAUAACAUAUGCACAUAUAACAAAAUCAAUUCCAUGGUGACACUACUCCAACCAUAUGGAUAUUAGUCUUAGAAAAACUAGAGGUUUUAUGACUUUUUAAGUCUUUUUUUUUUUUGGUCUAGGUAGUCAGUCUGCACUUGAAUAAGCAUCAUUUUCCUUUUUGCUUCUUCCCUUAAAAUUUAUGUGUAUCCAGUACAUUUAAUUGAGAAACAUAUGUUUUUUAUUAUGCUGUAUUUUUAUUUUUUAAUUAUUGUUUAUAUUUUCAAUUUAAAAAUGUACAAAAUAAAGUUACAUUGCUGGUCUUGUAAAAAAAAAUGUGUAUACACACACAUACACACACACACACGUAUUUAUAUAAAAUCAAGUGUACAUAAUAACUCCAAUGAAUAAUCCAAAUUUGGUCUACAAAUAAUCCAGUAGACCUCAACCAAUCACAGAUUCUGAUCUAGUGGAAUUCAGAUUAAUGAGGUUAUUAUACUAUAUUAAUAAAAUUAUUUUUCUGUGAGUUCAUUGCUAAGAAGUAGAAGUUUAUUUUUAUUUUUCAGAGACAAGGUCUUAUUAUUAUUAUUUUGUAGAGAUAGGGUCUCUCUAUGUUGCUCAGGCUGGUCUUGAACUCCUGGCCUCAAAUGAUCUUUCUGCCUUGGCUUCCCAGGCAUGAACAACUAGGCCUGGCCUAGAAUUUUAAAAGCUACUUUUCACUCAACAAUGAACAAUUAUAAUAAUGGGACAAUAAAACAUUUACCAUAUGCUCUAGACCUUCAAAUUCUGUGUCAGAUAUAGUUGAAAAUUGAGCUAAAAGACAAAGCAGGGCCAGGUGCAGUGGCUCAUGCCUGUUAUCCCAGCACUUUGGGAGGCCAAGGCAGAUAGAUAGUUGAGGUCAGGAGUGUGAGACCAGCUUGACCAACAUGGUGAAACCCUGUCUCUACUAAAAAUACAAAAAAAUUAGCCAGAUGUGGUGGCACAUGCCUAUAAUCCCAGCUGCUCAGCAGGCUGAGGCAUGAGAAUCACUUGAACCUGGAAGGCAGAGGUUGCAGUGAGCAGAGAUUGUGCCACUGCACUCCAGCCUGGGUGAUAGAGUGACUCUGUCUUUAAAAAAAAAAAGCAGAUGCUUAUAAAGCUUAAUCUCAAAUUGCAACUAUAUAUGGUAUCUUUUAAAAACAUAUAUUAUUUGGGCCGGUAUGGUGGCUCAUACCUUAAUCCCAGCAUUUCUGGAGGCUGAGGUGGGUGGAUCACUUGAGGUCAGGAAUUCAAGACCAGCCUGGCCAACAUGGUGAAACCCUGUCUCUACUAAAAAUACAAAAAUCAGCCAGGCCUGGAGGCAGGUGCCUGCAAUCUCAGCUACUCAGGAGGCUGAGGCAGGAGAAUUGCUUGAACCUGGAAGGCAGAGGUUUCAUUGAACUGGGGCACCACCAUACUCCAGCCUGGGUGACAGAUUGAGACUCUGUCUCAAAAAAAUGAAAAUAAAAAUUAAAAAAAUAGAUAUAUAUAUAAUUUGAUGCUAAAAGUGGUCUUAUGUAACUUGAAAUUCUGUAAUAAAAAAGAUCUAAUUUCUAGCUUUGAUUAUAUUUAAUUAAAUGAAGAGGUUAAAUUUCCUUAUUAGGUUUAAUAUUGAUAUAAUAUUAAAUAUAAUAUUAAAUCUAUAUCAGAUUUAAUAUAUUAUAGAUUUAAAUUUUUAAGGCAUCUGGAUGCAAAUAUGAUAUCGGAUGCAAUUUGACACAUACGCAUAUAUUUGUGAAAUCUAGCAGUUUUUUCUUCCUUGACUCCUUGGCCUCAAAGAUGACAAACAUGCAAAAUGGAGCAGGGAGCCUCACAAAAUAUUAACAUUAAACAAUAAUAUAUGUGAUACUGAUUCAGGCUAGAUUGAAAUACGAACUUUUUAGUUAUAAGAAAUUAAAUAAGUACUAAUGCUUUAUAUGGCACUUAACUGUUUAGAAAAGUCACAUUUGAUCAUUCGGUUGAUACUCUCAAAUCCUUUGAGAUAAGCAUGUUCAUUUUACAAAACAGGCAACAAAGUCUGGCCCUGGUGAUAGGACCAUGAUUCAUAUCCACUUCUGACUCUGAAGGUCUUUGUUGUGUUUUUUUUUUCUCAGUCAGGUGACUAUUCAGCUAAUCUGACUUGGAUCUUGCCUACAGGAACUUAGUCAUGAAAUGUCCAAAUGACUUUGUAAGCGGUAUGAUUCACUUUAAGAUGUAGUAUGAUUCAUUUUAAGAUGUUUUCUGAAGGGAGUAUUAUAGUAUACUGUCAUUAAUUACAAACGAAAUGUAAAAUUAUGAUGUGCCAAUUUGCUGUAAUCAAUUUUUUCUUCAAACCAAAUGUUGAAGACCAUGGCACCAUCUUUGGUGUUCAAGAGAAGAGACUCUGCUAUGGCAAGUUUUACUAUGUCAUAGAUACAGGCAGAGUAACUCUUUCUCCAAACUAGACUAAAUCUUGGUUGCUUUAUUGCUGAGCUUUUAAUGUGCCCCCCUCCACCUAUUUUUUUUUCUUUACUUCCAAAAAAUUACUUUGGCAUGUGAGAUUAUUUCACAGAAAUAUUUUAUUUGACUUAAAACUCAUUUCUGAAUAACCAUAUUUUGCCUGCCCAUAUAAAUACAGUUCUGAUUUCAAAUUGUGGUUUGAAUUUGAGUUUAGUUUUUGUAGAGAAAUAUUCAGAAUCUCUGAUGGGAGGGAAAUAAGGGUUCCUGGAGAAGAAGAGGCAUCGGUGGGGACCUUUGUAGUAGGUGUUUGACUAUUUUUUCCUUUCCAAACCCCUCAUAGUUAAUACCAUCCUUCUAGCCUUGCCCUUUAAAUUCUGAGUUUUUCCCCUAGACUCAAACAUCAGAAUAUAUUUUAACUAUUGCUUGAAUUUGCAGCAGCCCUUUGCAUUCCACAUCACAUUGUCUCAGUGACAAACUGCAUGCUCUGAUAGUUUAGGAAAUUUUAACCUUGUCAUUUUCAUCUUACGGAUGUUUUGACUCUACGUUUCUGAAUACAGAGACUUUAAUAAAAAUUAUGUCAAUCUUGAUGAGUUUUCAUCAAAAAAGUAUUUUUGAUUUGGACUUUUACGCAGUUUGAUUUCUUGAUCAGGUUUUCAUAGAGCAAAGUUAAAAUUUUCUACUUUAUUUUACUAAAAUGUUUAGCCAGCUGAGCUCUGCUUUGUGAAUUUUACUCUGAAGAUGUCUGUCAUUACACUUUCUUUCUCUCUCUCUCUCUCUCUCUCUCUCUCUCUCUUUUUUUUUGGAGACUGGAUCUUGCACUGUUGCCCAGGCUGGAGUACAGUGGCGUGACCUCAGCUCACUGUAAUCUCUGCCUCCUAGGCUCAAGCAGUCCUUCUGCCUCAGCCUCCUAAGUAGCUGGAACUACAGGUUCAUGCCACUACACCUGGCUAAUUUUUGUAUUUCUUGUAGAGACAGGGUUUUGCUGUGUUGCCCAGGCUGGUCUCAAACUCCUGAACUCAAGCAAUACACCUAUCUCGGCCUCCCAAAGUGCUGAGACUACAAGCGUGAGCAACCUCGCCCAGCCUCUUUUUUUAAAUAAGAGACAGUAUAGUGUAAUAUUAUAUUCUGGUUAUGUUCUAAAGCAGUGGUGUCCUGUGGGAGUAUACUGUGAGCCACGUGUAAUUUUAAACGUUUUAGUGGCCAUGUUAAGACAAUAAAAAGCGAUAGCUGAAAUUAAGUUUCAUGUAAGGACCGGCACAGUGGCUCACACUUGUGAUCCCAACAUUUUGGAAGACUAUGGCAGAAUUAUUUGAACGCAGGAGUUUGAGACCAGCCCAGGCAACAUUGUGAGACCCUAGCUCUACAAAAAGUUAAAAAUUAGCUGGUUGUGGUGGUGCACACUAGCUGUUUCCUGAGGCUGAGGCAGGAGGAUGGCUUGAGCCUAGGAGUUUGAGGCUGCAGUGAGCUGUGAUCAUGCCACAGCCUGGGCACCUGUCUCAAAUACAUAUACACACACACACAUAUUUUUAUAUAGCCCAGUAUAACCAAAUUGUUAUCAUAUAGACAUGUAAUCAAUGUACAAAUUAAUUUUAGAGGAAAGUAGGUGGGAGAAGGGAAAUCUCAGAGAAAGGAAAGGUGGGGGUUGGGGGCACGGUAGCUAAGUUUGGUCUCUGUUUCUCUGCUUUCUUUUUUUUUUUCUUUCUCUUCUUUCUUUUCUUUCUUUCAAGAUGGAGUUUCACUCUUAUUGCCCAGGCUGGAGUACAAUGGCAUGAUCUUGGCUUGACACAACCUCCACCUCCUGGAUUCAAGCGAUUAUUUUGCCUCAGGCUCCCAUGUAGCUGUAAUUACAGGCAUGCGCCACCAUGCCUGGCUAAGUGUGUAUUUUUAAUAGAGACAGCGUUUCUCCAUGUUGGUUAGGCUGGUCUUGAACUCUUAACCUCAGGUGACCCACCCACCUCAGCCUUCCAAAGUGCUGGGAUUACAGGCGUGAGCCACCACGCCCAGCUGUCCUCUAUCUUUUUGUAGCCUUGGGGAGGAAUGGAGGAGGAAGGAGAAGAUCAUGCUCAUCUGUCUCCUACUUUAGUUUGUGAGGGAAAUGGUUAAGUCAAAACAGGGACAAGAGAUUAACUUACUUGCUGAGUUCUAUUUCCAUUGAGAAUGUUGUGGUAGAAAAGGCCCAGAUAACACCAUGUGCUAGUAGUAUACAUGUGCACAUUAGGAAUCUAAAGUGUCUUUUACUGACUCAGACUUUAAUAAUAGUCCUGUCUACCCCUACCUUUUCUCUCUCUCUCUCUCUCUCUCUCUCUCUCCCCCCCCUCCCCCCCACCCCCCCUCCUCUUUCUCCCUCUCUCGUCCAAGUUUAAAUUCCUUACUGGAAAGACAGGAAAGGAAAAGUGUAGUAGAUUUUCCAAAUACAAACCUUGCUUUUAUAAUAUGGUUAUGGCAACCAUCUCUAUUUUGGUAAAAUUGGCCUAUUACAUGAAUGACAUUUUGCAAGUUAGAUUUUUGCAAUUUAGGAAAACCAUAAGCCAUCGUAAACAGUUAAACAAGAUAUUUUAUAUAUGACUUUAGUACCAUAAAUCAUAAUUUUGGGCAUUGUACAGAGAAGAAUGAAAACAUAAAGCAAACAGACCUGGCCUAAUCUCUAAGGCUCAGAGGAAAAUUCUUUAAGAAAGUGAGUUGGAAACACACAUGAAAGGUGAAUAGGAGUUAAUAGGUAGUACUGAUGGAAAAGAGCUUUCCAGGCAGGAAAAAAAAGACAAAACAUUUGGAGAAUUCUUACAAUGGGAAUUUAGAGUCUAGAAAUAUACCAUACAUUUAUGGUCAAUUGAUUUCCAACAAGGGUGCCAAAAGAAUAGUUUCUUCACCAUAUAAUGCUGGAACAAUUAGAUAUCCAUGUGCAAAAGAAUGAAGUUGGACCCCUACCUCACACCAUGCACAAAAAUUAACUCAAAAUGGAUAGUAGACCUAAAUUUUAGAGUUAAAACCAUAAAAGGCUUAAAACAUAGGUGUUGGGUUAGGUAUAGUUUCUUAGAUAUGAUAACAAAAGCACAAGCAACAAAAAAAGUACAUUGGACUUCAUAAAAAUGGAAAACUUUUGCUUUAAAAGAUAUCAUCAGGAAAGUGAGAUGACAACUCACAGAAUGGGGAAAAAAAUGUAAGUCAUAUCUGAUAAAGGAAGUUGUAUCCAGUUACUACUAGGAAAAUGCGGCAUAAUCCAAAGAAAAAGUCUGUGGCAGAGUCUAGCAUUUGGAUGUGAAUGUUUCUAGAUAGAGCUCUCCUCUUCAUUUCUUUCAGAACAAAAACUUAUAAUCUAGCUUAAAAUUAAUGAGCAUCUCUUUCAGCUCAAAGUAUUCAUUUCUGGUGUAACAGGUAUAAACUUUAUGUUUGACUCAGAGUCUCUUAGUCCAGAAAUUCUUGCCCUGUGGCAUGGCUUUUUAUAAACAGGGUAUCUCUUGUUGUAAUUCUAGACUUUACCUUUAAUACUGCUUAAAUUCCAACUAUUCCACCAAGAUUUUAUGGAUUUAGCUUCCUUUUUAAAGAAUAAUUUAAAAAUAAAAUAGUCUAGGCAUCCUUCUAAGUCAGUCAUAAGCUGUAGUAUCUUGAUUUUUAUAUUAGAGCUGAUUGCCUAAAUUAUAUUUUGCAAUUUCCGUACCCCCCAGAAUAGUUUGCCCUAUCAGCUACAUCCUGAGCCAUGGUCUUAGUUGUGUUAGAUACAUUUCUUAGCUCACCAAAAACAGAGUCUGGCCAGGAAAAUAGAAAAAGGAAAAUAUUAAAUUGUCCUUUCCACUUCCUCCCAUUAGAGUGGCUCUGGAAAUGUUUCAUGCAAGGAGGCAGUGAUGAAAAUCUCUUCUUUGCUAUUAAGUUUUUAAAAAAGAUAAAAACCUUUCUUAGUUUUUCAGUGUUCUAUUGCAGAGUUGAUUACUUUCUUGGGAGUAAACCAUGUGAAUUAAUGCACUCUGGCUUCUAGAGGAUGUCUGUAUGAGAGCCUAGUUCUCUGGACCAAAGAAGAGAUGGAAUUAAUUGAAUUCCCAAUUGAAUGAAGUAGUUGGGAAUACAAUUAGAAUAAGUGCAUAUAUUCAGUUUAUAAUAAAGAUCUCAUAAAUAUCAUUAUAUAGUCAUCCAGACUAUUUAAUCAGUUAAUGGCUGUCUUUAUUCACAUAUUUUA